CAUGCUUUGGCAGACGUGGCACCGGGAACUCGGAGGCGGGGAGCGGCUGGGAAGUGGCGGUGGUGGUUGGCCGCGGUGGAGCUAGCGAGCGGGCGGGCGCGGGCGCGGGCGCGGGAGAGGAGACAGGAGCCAGCGGUGGGCAGCGGCAGCGGGGAUGGCGCGGGCCGGGCCGGCGUGGCUGCUGCUGGCGAUCUGGGUGGUCCUGCCUUCGUGGUUGUCCUCUGCAAAGGUCUCCUCGCUCAUUGAGAGAAUCUCUGACCCCAAGGACUUGAAAAAACUGCUCAGAACCCGGAAUAAUGUACUGGUGCUUUACUCCAAAUCUGAGGCAGCAGCUGAAAAUCAUCUCAGGUUACUGUCCACAGUGGCCCAGGCGGUGAAAGGACAAGGCACCAUCUGCUGGGUGGAUUGUGGUGAUGCAGAGAGUAGGAAAUUGUGCAAAAAGAUGAAAGUUGACCUGAGCCCAAAGGAUAAAAAGGUCGAAGUAUUCCAUUACCAGGAUGGUGCAUUUCAUACUGAAUAUAACCGAGCUGUGACAUUUAAGUCCAUAGUGGCCUUUUUGAAGGAUCCCAAAGGGCCUCCACUGUGGGAGGAAGAUCCUGGAGCCAAAGAUGUUGUCCACAUUGACAGUGAAAAGGACUUCAGACGGCUCCUGAAGAAGGAAGAGAAGCCGCUCCUGGUCAUGUUUUAUGCCCCCUGGUGCAGCAUGUGCAAGAGGAUGAUGCCACAUUUCCAGAAGGCUGCGACUCAGCUACGAGGCCACGCUGUGCUGGCUGGGAUGAAUGUCCACUCCUCUGAAUUUGAAAACAUCAAGGAGGAAUACAGCGUGCGCGGCUACCCCACCAUCUGCUAUUUUGAGAAAGGAAGGUUCUUGUUCCAGUACGACAACUAUGGGUCCACAGCCGAGGACAUCGUGGAGUGGCUGAAGAAUCCGCAGCCGCCACAGCCCCAGGUCCCUGAGACUCCCUGGGCAGAUGAGGGCGGCUCCGUUUAUCACCUGACCGAUGAAGACUUUGACCAGUUUGUGAAGGAACACUCCUCUGUCCUCGUCAUGUUCCACGCCCCAUGGUGUGGCCACUGUAAGAAAAUGAAGCCGGAGUUUGAGAAGGCAGCAGAAGCCCUCCAUGGAGAAGCAGAUAGCUCUGGUGUCCUUGCAGCUGUCGACGCCACCGUCAACAAGGCCCUGGCAGAAAGAUUCCACAUCUCAGAGUUUCCUACAUUGAAGUAUUUUAAGAAUGGAGAGAAACAUGCAGUGCCAGCGCUCAGGACAAAGAAGAAGUUUCUCGAGUGGAUGCAGAACCCUGAGGCCCCCCCCGCCCCCAGAGCCCACGUGGGAAGAGCAGCAGACAAGUGUGUUGCACCUGGUGGGGGACAACUUCCAGGAGACCCUGAAGAGAAAGAAACACACCUUGGUCAUGUUCUACGCCCCUUGGUGUCCACACUGUAAGAAAGUCAUUCCGCACUUCACUGCUGCUGCUGAUGUCUUUAAAGAUGACCGAAAGAUUGCCUGUGCUGCUGUCGACUGUGUCAAAGACAAGAACCAAGACCUGUGCCAGCAGGAGGCCGUCAAAGGCUACCCCACUUUCCACUACUACCACUAUGGGAAGUUCACAGAAAAGUAUGAUAGUGACCGCACAGAAUUGGGAUUUACCAAUUAUAUUCGAGCCCUCCGGGAGGGAGACCAUGAAAGACUAGGGAAAAAGAAGGAAGAGUUAUAACUCCUGCCUCAGAAAAAGCUUUUCCAUUACACUGUGAAUGAUACCUGUUUUGUUGUUUCUGAAUUUCCACAUGUUCUGAAGACAAAGUUUUUUAUAGCCACUUAUGGCCAUUUUGUACAAUUUUGAAAUAAAAUUAAACCAUUUA